rnacentral:lncRNA from 1 species
GAGAAGCAUGGGGGCCUUGGGAUAGUUCCAGAAUGAGGAUGUGCGUUUCUAGCUGCUUUGCGCCCUCCUCCCCCAAAAAUCUGCUACCACAAUUCCAACCCGGCGGCACGCCCCCAAGACUCCUUUGUCGCCCCAGGGGCGGGACCUGAGCUGUCGAUUUCAGGAGCCCUUCGUGACUUCAAAAGUCCUGGGCACUGUUGCUCAUGAGUGCUGCACAACUGUCGCCCUCUAAAGCCACCUCCAUCCCUCACUGGGCUGGCCUCCUGAGCCUUCGAAGGAAGCCCGGUGCCAGCCAGCCUUCCUGAAAGACCAAGCCCGCGCCAUCCGGCUUCCUCCAGUGGACGCCUGCAGGACCCAGGUGAGACACGGAACCGGUUGGGGACGCGAGCCAGGGAUCCUGACCGGUUGGGGGCGGCGAGCAAGGGAUCCUGACUUGGGGGCGUUGCCUCCCGGAAUCCAAGCGGCCUUUUGCCCGGGUCUCCCGAGAUGCAUCGAAAUUGAGCUCGUCCACACAGCCCCCUGACUGCGUGAUGCCCUUUUCUGACUUAAAACAUUCCUUGUACCUUUAUUUACACGAUCCAAGUUGCAGUGUGCCUAGAUUUUCCUCCAAGGACAAAAAUGUGAAUAAAGCAAUAUUUUAGCCAAA